rnacentral:rRNA from 1 species
CAGCCGCCGCGGUAAUACAGAGGAUGCAAGCGUUAUCCGGAAUGAUUGGGCGUAAAGCGUCUGUAGGUGGCUUUUCAAGUCCGCCGUCAAAUCCCAGGGCUCAACCCUGGACAGGCGGUGGAAACUACCAAGCUGGAGUACGGUAGGGGCAGAGGGAAUUUCCAGUGGAGCGGUGAAAUGCGUUGAGAUCGAAAAGAACACCAACAGCGAAAGCACUCUGCUGGGACGACACUGACACUAAGAGACGAAAGCUAGGGGAGCAAAUGGGAUUAGAGACCCGCGUAGUCCCUGUCUCUUAUAC